UGUGCUGCGGGUGAAUUCACUGUUUUGUUGGCACAUGUGUCCCCUUUUAAUUAAAUGUGCUCAUUUGGGCAAACACAAAUAUGAGCUGUUCAGUUUUUACCACCAGACUUGCAUGCAAACUAAGUACAUCACAAUUUGAUCAGUUGUAAUGCAUUUAAACAGGCAGCACGGUGGAACAGGGGUUAGUGCAUGUCCUGAGAAAUCCCGAGUUCAAUCCCAGGCUCGGGAUCUUUUUGUGUGGUUUGCAUGUUCUCCCCGUGACUGCGUGGCUUCCUCCCACCUCCAAAAACAUGCACCUGGGGAUAGGUUGAUUGGCAACGCUAAAUGGUCCCUAGUGUGUGAAUAUGGUCUGUGUUAGCCCUGCGAUGAGGUGGCGACUUGUCCAGUGUGUACCCUGCCUUCCGCCUGAAUGCAGCCGAGAUAGGCUCCAGCACCCCCCGCGACCCCAAAAGGGAUAAUUGGUAGAAAAUGGAUGGAUAUCACAAAACAUGAAUGUCCAAUGCAGACAUUUAUAUAUUUGCUACGUUAAUAGCCUUACUAUAGAUUUCCAGUGCUUGUUAACACAAAUGUAAAUUUUAACAAAAAAUAUUUUAAACAAAACAGGCAACGAUAGUGGGUUGUUUUUUUUCAGUUUUUAUUGAAUUUUUGUGUUAUGCAUCAUCUUCCGCUUAUCUGAGGUCGGGUCGCGGGGGCAACAGCCUAAGCAGGGAAAUAAGAAUAUAAUUUAAAAAAAAUUUAAAGUGAAAUUUCCUCCUGUUCCUCGCGCCCCACCUGUCAUGUGUCUGUUCCCCACCACACUUUGAGAAACGCUGGGUUAGUGCAUGUCCUGAGAAGUCCCGAGUUCAAUCCCGGGCUCGGGAUCUUUCUGCGUGGAGUUUGCAUGUUCUCCCCGUGACUGCGUGGCUUCCUCCCACCUCCAAAAACAUGCACCUGGGGAUAGGUUGAUUGGCAACACUAAAUGGUCCCUAGUGUGUGAAUAUGGUCUGUGUUAGCCCUGCGAUGAGGUGGCGACUUGUCCAGGGUGUACCCCGCCUUCCGCCUGAAUGCAGCCGAGAUAGGCUCCAGCACCCACACAACCCCAAAAGGGAUAAGUAUGUUUUGAAAACAGAAAAUGCACAGUAAAACAAAUUGACGGAAACUGGAGUUGUCUAUCUGUGUUGGCCCUGCGAUGAGGUGGCAACUUGUCCAGGGUGUACCCCGCCUUCCGCCCGAUUGUAGCUGAUAGGCGCCAGCGCCCCCAAAAAGGGAUUAUCCAUCCAUCCAUCCAUUUUCUACCGCUUAUUCCCUUUCGGGGUCGCGGGGGGUGCUGGCGCCUAUCUCAGCUACAAUCGGGCGGAAGGCAGGGUACACCCUGGACAAGUCGCCACCUCAUCGCAGGGCCAACACAGAUAGACAACAUUCACACUCACAUUCACACACUAGGGCCAAUUUUAGUGUUGCCAAUCAACCUAUCCCCAGGUGCAUGUUUUUGGAAGUGGGAGGAAGGGAUUAAGCGGUAGAAAAUGGAUGGAUGGAUGGAGUCACUGUCUGUGACCGAACUAUAAGAAACUGUCCAUCCAUCCAUCCAUCCAUCCAUCUUCUACCGCUUGUCCCUCUCGGGGUCACGGGGUGCUGAAACCUAUCCCAGCUGCACUCAGGUGGAAGGCGGUGUACACCCUGGACAAGUCGCUAUCUCAUCGCAGAGCCAAUACAUACAGACAACAAUCACACUCACACCUAAAGGAAAUGGGAUUUUAAUACAGAAAAGCUCAAUGAAAGUCAUCUUUAACAUCCACAAAUUUGAAAAACAUUUAUUUUUACCUUGUGAACACGACUGCUGAUGAAUUUAUAUUGUUACUUGGUUCAAAUCCCUCCUAGUACCAACCUCGUCACGCCCGUUGUGUCCUGAGCAAGACACUUCACCCUUGCUCCUGAUGGGUGCUGGUUAGCGCCUUGCAUGGCAGCUCCCUCCAUCAGUGUGUGAAUGUGUGUGUGAAUGGGUAAAUGUGGAAGUAGUGUCAAAGCGCUUUGAGUACCUUGAAGGUAGAAAAGCGCUAUACAAGUUCAACCCAUUUAUCAUUUAUUUAUUUAUCAUAAGUAGUAGAAAAUGGAUGGAUAUCACAAAACGGUCCGUUCCCUGUACGAUCAGUGCCAGAGCUUGGUCCACAUUGCCGGCAGUAAGUCGAACACAUUUCCAGUGAGGGUUGGACUCCGCCAAGGCUGUCCUUUGUCACCGAUUCUGUUCAUAACUUUUAUGGACAGAAUUUCUAGGCGCAGUCAAGGCGUUGAGGGGUUCCGGUUUGGUAACCGCAGGAUUAGGUCUCUGCUUUUUGCAGAUGAUGUGGUCCUGAUGGCUUCAUCUGACCGGGAUCUUCAGCUCUCGCUGGAUCAGUUCGUAGCCGAGUGUGAAGCGACCGGAAUGAGAAUCAGCACCUCCAAGUCCGAGUCCAUGGUUCUCGCCCGGAAAAGGGUGGAGUGCCAUCUCCGGGUUGGGGAGGAGACCCUGCCCCAAGUGGAGGAGUUCAAGUACCUAGGAGUCUUGUUCACGAGUGGGGGAAGAGUGGAUCGUGAGAUCGACAGGCGGAUCGAUGCGGCGUCUUCAGUAAUGCGGACGUUGUACCGAUCCGUUGUGGUGAAGAAGGAGCUGAGCCGGAAGGCAAAGCUCUCAAUUUACCGGUCGAUCUACGUUCCCAUCCUCACCUAUGGUCAUGAGCUUUGGGUCAUGACCGAAAGGAUAAGAUCACGGGUACAAGCGGCCCAAAUGAGUUUCCAGGUCUCUCCCUUAGAGAUAGGGUGAGAAGCUCUGCCAUCCGGGAGGAACUCAAAGUAAAGCCGCUGCUCCUUCACAUGGAGAGGAGCCAGAUGAGGUGGUUUGGGCAUCUGGUCAGGAUGCCACCCGAACGCCUCCCUAGGGAGGUGUUUAGGGCACGUCCAACCGGUAGGAGGCCACGGGGAAGACCCAGGACACGUUGGGAAGACAAUGUCUCCCGGCUGGCCUGGGAACGCCUCGGGAUCCCCCGGGAAGAGCUGGACGAAGUGGCUGGGGAGAGGGAAGUCUGGGUUUCCCUGCUUAGGCUGCUGCCCCCGCGACCCGACCUCGGAUAAGCGGAAGAUGAUGGAUGGAUGAAUGUCCAAUGCAGACAUUUAUAUAUUUGCUCCGUUAAUAGCCUUACAAAUGUAGAUUUCCAGUCCUGUAAACACAAAUGUACAUUUUAACAAAAAAUAUUUUAAACAAAACAGGCAACAAUAGUGGGUUGUUUUUUUUUCAGUUUUUAUUGAAUUUUUGUGUUAUGCAUUUGUAUUAAAAAAUAAAAUAAAAAAAAAACUAUUCUUUGGUACCUAAAAGGGCAAACGAGAGUUAAGGCAGCUACAUCGUCUACAGGUGUGAUAUGUCCUUUACUUCUGCAACACUUCUACUCCAAACACACUCAGCACACCCGCUGGCUUGUUUAUUCACCCGCGAGGUGGCAGAAAGCCGAAAAACGAAAGAAGCAAACCAGUCAACACCCUUGCACCCGUGAGGUGAACUCAGCAUCAAACUCUCCACAUUGAUGACACGCUCAAGUUUAAACAGGAGUUCAGCACAUUCACAUCAUUUUUGAAAAAAGGUCAAGUAACGUUUAUUCAGUCUCAGAUAUCUGCACGGAUGUUUGCUAUAGUGCAUAAAAGAGCCAAAUCCGGUCUUUUUUUUACUUUUCGAGCCAAAAUAUGGUGUCAUGGUUGUGUAUAAAUACUGCUUCUAUCCCUAAGUGUAGUGGAUAAUUAUAACCUGUUUUUUACAUUUAAGUCUAAUACUGCAUUUUGUUCUUUUUCUAACCGAUAUCCUUUCAAACAAAGUGAUUUUACAGCAAAAUAAAAAAAAAGGAGCUUGUAUGAGAACAAAUAGGCAUUUAGACCAGACCUGGGCAAAUUAAUAUGUUGAGCUUUUCAAUCUGGCGCACCGGAACUUCCCAAAUAUUUUUUUUUAGAUCUCUAAGAUGGAAAGUGUAGCUGCCAUUAUGAUGUGCAGUCUUGUUUUUUUUAACGACCGUAAGCCUUGAACUAUACAGAAUCUGCGCUUAUGGAUGAUAUAGCAGUUACUUUGGUCAUCUAAUUAGUUACCAUGGUAAUGCAAGUCACAGCAGCUCAGACGAGGUACCAAGCAGUGUGGGCGGGGAGCGUUUCCACAGACGCGGAAGGGGAGAUUUUCACAAUAAAGUUCUAAAGCUUAGUGAUAGCUAUAUCAGAUUGUAAGUGGGUUUAUUUUUGUACCCUUCACGUUCAUAUUUCACGGUUUGUUGCGAAAAGGGGGUGUGACGGUUAUAUUUUGUCAAUAUUCAGUCUUUUAUCAUUCGUAGAAAAUUGUAAAAUUCCAUUGUGUUUUUAAGGCGGUCUGUCAUAUUCAAUUAUUGUGAUGUUUUGUAUUAGUGUUCAUAAAAAGAUAUACCGGCCACCAGGCACAUUAUUUUCUCUAAACAUGUCAAAAAUAAUUGCCCGGGCCUUCUUUAGACUCAGAAUGAGAAGUCAGAAGAAAAGUAACGGGAUGCCCAAAUGAAACAUUUACAUGACAACAUUCCAAAAAAAGGUCCCAUCACAUAUUUUUUUUUCUUUUUGUAAAAGUCGCGGGCUAGAGGUAAGUGAUAAAUAUUAACCCCAGCCAACUCCACUCUUCUCUGGGUGCGCAUGGAGCGGUUAUCUUCUCCCCUCCCCGUGCUGGGGGCGUGUGUGCAGGCCUCAUAUGAUGCCGUAGAUGAAGAUGGCCAUGAUGGCGGCGCUGAUCAGGCCCGAGAUGGGCACGGUCACAAACCACGCCAUGAAGAUGUUGCGGAACAGACGCCAGUCCACCGCUUUCUUGGAGCGCAGCCAGCCCACCGCCACCACGGAGCCCACCUGCAAGACAGUCUGCGGUCAACAACUGACUUAAAGUCUGGCACACUUCCUGUUGGACAUCAUGGGGCCUACCUUGCAGUGGGUGGUGGAGACCGGCAGGCCGAUGUUGGACGCAACCACCACAGUCAGAGCCGAGGCCAACUCGAUGCUGAAACCACUGCAGGGCGAGCAAAAACGAAGCGCAGAUGAGGGCAGACUAUGAACCAAACCAGGACGGCGGUCAGCAGCGCACAGCCCAGUGAGAUGAGCAGGGUCCCCCACCAAGGAAGCUUGUCGAAUCCCAGCACUGGACCAAGGACCGCCACGGACACACAAGACCACGCGAGUGGAGGAGGAGGAGAAAAGAAAAAUGCAGGUUUUUAAAAACACGGGCAGCGAGUGCCGCCUUCCUCUAGUGGGCAGCACACUCAACACGGGGACAUUCUGAAUUGUCACUGGGGGGGGAAACUUCAUUCUCAGAAUGUGCCGUUUAAGGAAAAAGUAUGUGAUCCACCUCAGAUUGAUAUUAUUUUACUUAACUUAAUCAUCUCAUUAGUGGCAUAUACAUGCUAAUCACUAUACUAGCUUGAAACGAUACAAUAAAAAAAGUAUAAAUAUUUAUUUUCAAAUGAAUUUAUUCUCUGGACACAGAAGGACGUUUAACACCAGAUUAAACACCAGCGCCUCUGCUGGUUGCAGCGGAGUAGAAUACGCCAUUUUCACUUAAAAGCCUACUGAAAUGAGAUUUUCUUAUUUAAAACGGGGAUAGCAGGUCCAUUCUAUGUGUCAUACUUGAUCAUUUCGCCAUAUUGCCAUAUUUUUGCUUAAAGGAUUUAGUAGAGAACAUCGACGAGAAAGUUCAC